CGGGGUGCAGCAGGCGCGAAACCUUAGCAAUGUGCGAAAGCACGACUGGGUCGGUCCGAGUGAUUCCUGAUAAAGGAGUCUUUUGCUUGUCCUAAAAGCACAGGUGAAUAAGGGGUGGGCAAGUCUGGUGUCAGCCGCCGCGGUAAUACCAGCACCUCGAGUGGUCAGGACGUUUAUUGGGCCUAAAGCAUCCGUAGCCGGCUCUGCAAGUCUUCGGUUAAAUCCACCUGCUCAACAGAUGGGCUGCUGGAGAUACUACAGAGCUAGGGAGUGGGAGAGGCAGACGGUAUUCAGUGGGUAGGGGUAAAAUCCUCUGAUCCAUUGAGGACCACCAGUGGCGAAGGCGGUCUGCCAGAACACGUUCGACGGUGAGGGAUGAAAGCUGGGGGAGCAAACCGGAUUAGAUACCCGGGUAGUCCCAGCUGUAAACGAUGCAAACUCGGUGAUGCAUUGGCUUAUGGCCAAUGCAGUGCCGCAGGGAAGCCGUUAAGUUUGCCGCCUGGGAAGUACGGACGCAAGUCUGAAACUUAAAGGAAUUGGCGGGGGAGCA
rnacentral:rRNA from 1 species